CCAUGGAAGGGGAGCAAGCGUGAGCUGGCACUCAACACCCCCUUCUCCACAUGGAGGGUGGUCACAUGUUCUCCACCUGUUCCCCUAGAUGGUGAGACUUCUGUUGGGCUCACUUUUCCUGGGCCAGUGUCCAUCGGCCAGGUGCUCAGCCUUCGGUGCGGUGAAGCUCCAGCCCUUCCUGGUGCCCUGGUCUCCUGCACUGAGCUGUGGUGAGCACAUCCAGGUUCCACUGGAUGCAUGUGCGGGAAGGGGGGUGCCCUGGGUUGCGUCAAUGAUGAGAACCGUAUAUUGUCCUAAAGAGAGGUGAUGACUUAAAAAUCAUGCUCAAUAGGAUUACGCUGUGGCCCAGCCUAGGGGAGAAUUUUGGAAAAGGAUGCUGGGAUCCCAAUUUCCCCAACAGGGCCACUGUAUUUUGUACCUGAGACCUGGAGGCUCUGAAGGGCAUCUGGAGGUGGCCCAACCUGUCUCUGCACUCUAGGUUCCCUGUGUGGGCUAGGUGUCGGUGCUCCGGUUCCCUGGGGGCAGGGAAUGUUGGUGGCUCCUUCCUGAGUCCCUGUUCUUGCCUUUGUCUUUCAGUGAGCUCUUUCACCUAGGAGGGCUGCUUGGCAUUGACUGGCAUAGAUGGUGACCCUGAAGAAAGACUUGAGUUGAGCCCGAAGGCCCCGGGCCAGUGUCCAUCAUCCAGGUGCUCAGCUCCCAGUGCACUGAAGCUCGGACCCUUCUUGGUUCCCUGGUCUCUUGCACUGAGCUCUGAUGGUGAGACUUGAGGAAGACUUCCAUUGGGCCUGCUUUUCCUGAGCCACUGUCUGUCAGCCAGGUUCCCAGCCCCCAAUGCGCUGAAGCUCAGGCCUUUCCUGGCACCCUGGUCUCCUGCACUGAGCUGUGUGAGCUCUUCUGCCCAGGCAGGCCCCCUGGAAAUGACAGGCAUAGAUGGUGACCCCGGAGGAAAAUUUGUGUUGGGCCCACUAUCCCUGGGCCAAUGUCAGUCAGCUAGGUGCCCAGCCCCCAGUGCACUGAAGCUCAGGACCUUCCUGGUGCCCUCGGCUCCUGCACUGAGCUCUGAUGAUAAGCCUGGAGGAAGUCUUGUGUUGGGCCCACAGGCCCCAGGCCAAUGUCUGUCAGCCAGGUGCUCAGCCCCUGGUGCGCUGAAACUCUGACCCUUCCUGGCACCCUGGUCUCCUGCACUGAGCUGUGAUCUUCCAUCCAGGAGGUCCCCCUGGCAUUGACUGACAUAGAUGGUGAGACUUCUGUUGGGCUCGCUUUUCCUGGGCCAGUGUCCAUCAGCCAGGUGUUCAGCCCUUGGUGCACUGAAGCUCCAGCCCUUCCUGGUGCCCUGGUCUCCUGCACUGAGCUGUGUGAGCUCUUCUGCCAAGGGGGUCCUCUUGGCAUUGACCAGCAUAGAUGGUGAGCCUGGAGGAAGACUUGCAUUGGGCCCAAUGGCCCUGGGCCAGUGUCUGUCAGCCAGUUCCCAGCCCCCGAUGCGCUGAAGCUCAGGCCUUUCCUGGCACCCUGGUCUCCUGCACUGAGCUGUGUGAGCUCUUCUGCCAAAGCGGUACCCACCCCCUGCCCCCAGCCUUAAGCGGCAUAGAUGGUGAGCCUGGAGGAAGACUUGUGUUGGGCCCACAGACCCCAGGCCAGUGUACGUCAACCAGGUGCUCAGCCCACGGUGUGCUGAAGCUCUGACCCUUCCUGACGCCCUGGUCUCCUGCACUGAGCUGUGGUGACCAUAUCCAGUGAGCUCUUCCAAACAGGUGGGCUCCCUGGCAUUGACCAACAUUGAGCUCUGACACCCAGGACAUCCCCCUGGCAUUGACUGGCAUAGGAGCACGCAUUUCCUGAAGCCCUGCAGAGGUGAUGGUGGUCCAGGCAGGAAAGGGUUCCUUCAGCCCAACAUAGAGCAGCUCCCAGCUGUAACUCGGUAGGCUGGUCAGGCCUCGAGGACUGCCCAGGCCACAUGAGGGUUUGGUGGCCCGGGAGGGCCAAUGAUGCUCUGCGUCCGUGUUGGGUCAGUGUUCUUCAUGGAUUCCAUCACAUUGGUAUCCCCUACCCACCUCCUGUGCGCUGAUACGUGAGGCCCUGGUUGGACACAUGUCCUUCUCCUGUCACCCCAGAUGGUGAGCCUGGAGGAAGACUUGUGUUGGGCCCCCACAGGCCCCAGGCCAGUGUCCGUCAGCCUGGUGCUCAUCCCCCGGUGUGCUGAAGCUCAGAUCCUCCCUGGCACCCUGGUCUCCUGCACUGAGCUGUGUGAGCUUUUCCUCCCAGGUGGGCCCCCUGGCCUUGACUGGCAUAGAUAGUGAGACUGGAGGAAGACUUGCAUUGGGCCUGCUGUUCCUGGGCCAGUGGCCAUCAGCCUGUUGCCCAGCCCCUAAUGUGCUGAAGCUCAGGCCCUUCCUCAUGCCCUGGUCUCCUGCACUGAGCUGUGGAUGGUGAGCCUGGAGGAAGACUUGUGUUGGGCCCCCACGGCCCCAGGCCAGUGUCCAUCAGCCUGGUGCUUAUCCCCCGGUGCGCUGGAGUUUGGACCUUCCUGGCACCCUGGUCUCCUGCACUGAGCUUGAGCUCUUCCACCCAGGCGGGCCCCCUGGCAUUGACUGGCAUAGAUGGUGAGCCUGGAGGAGGACUUGCAUUUGGCCCACUGGUCCAUGAUGAUAUGGAAGAAGAGCACUCUUUGGCCUGUUGCAACUGGGACAGUUGACAGCACCCAGGUGUCCUGUAAUGGAAAUGCUCUUGACACCAAUGCAUCCUAGCAUCAGAGCUUCAGGAAGCCUUCUCAAGUGUGCAUGGGGAGUACCAUGUCUUUCAUCAAUAAUGAAACCUUCUAAUGUCUUGUAAGACAUGCUGCCAAGAGAUGUGCCAUUCUGUUAUAAAAGAUCAGUGGCUUCCUUUACCGACGUGUAUAUUCUAUCUAGAACAUUGAGCUAUGGAAGACUCCCACUUAAGGGAAUUAGUUUUACACCUUCAGAUAAAGACUGCUGAGAAGAGCAACCUCUGGUGUUGCCACAGAGGCAAGUGCUACCACACAGGCAUGCUGCAGUGAAUUUAACUGAUCCUCUGUCCCUGCAACCGUUGUUUAAGGAUGCUAUUCUGAAAAGACUGUGGAGGAAGAAAACCCUUUACCCUGUUGUUCAGGGAGAAACUGACACCACUCAACUGCCUGGCACUGAAAAUGUGGCAUCCAGUCCACUUUACCACCAGUGUUUAAGGAAACCAUCUCUGAUAAGGAUGAUUGAGGAAGAGUACUCUUUGGCUUGUUGACACCAGCACAGCUGACACACCCAGAUAUCUGUUUGGUCUCCUGUGAACUCUCAACCAGAAUUUAAGGAUGCCACUCUGGUUAAAAGCUGAAACAACUUCAAGGAAACUUCAGGGAAAAGAGAAGGCCUGGAAUCUGAUCCUCCACUUCAGAGAACAGGGGCUGGAAUGCAGUGGCACGAUCUCGGCUCACUGCAACCUCUGCCUCCCGGGUUCAAACGAUUCUCCUACCUCAGCCUCCCAAGUAGCUGGGACUACAGGUGCACGCCACCACACCUGGCUAAUUUUUUUGUAUUUUUAGUAGAGAGGGGGUUUCACCAUGUUGGCCAGGCUGGUCUUGAUCUCUUGACGUCGUGAUUCGCCCGCCUCAGCCUCCCAAAGUGCUGGGAUUACAGGUGUGAGCCACUGUGCCUGGCCUGUAGUGUUUAAUAUGUUAAACUGAAUUUUUCAGGUAUAUAGAUAAAAAUUAGUCAAAAAACACUGUAAUUAGAUAUGAACAUUCAUAAAGUUUGGUUUAUUGAUAGAGGUGUUCUACUGAGAAAGACAUUUUUGUAAGAUUUCUUGUGAUAAAUGUGUCCCUGAAAAUACUCAAUCUUUUAAACUUUGCACUUAAAAACCUCCUAUGCAAAAACCGUUUGGUGCAGACUACUUAAUACUUAUGCAACUUUGUAAUUAGUGUUAACAAACGUAAUUAAUAAUCAAAAUAAGAGUACUACUGUACAGAAAGCAUCUCUAAUUUCUAAUAUACGAUGGUAACUGUAGAACACUGCAAAAACAAAAACAAAAAAACCAGUAAAGAACAGGGAACAGUAACAGUAGCAUAUUAGAAAACAGGGAUAAGGAAAGGUCACAACUGCUAUAAUGCAGACUUGAGCAAAAAAGAGGAGGGGGCAUAAAGACUGGAUAAAGCCACACAAUAAGCACCUCUAAGAUGGAGCACACGGCCAAAAGAGCAGAUGAGUACAUUCCUCAUGUACCACAUCCCCCGCAGCUGGCUGCAUUCCACUGUGCCAGCACUCUACAUUCGGUUACUGGUACUCUCUGGUGCAUACUUACUGGAGAACUGUGUACAAUAAAGUCAAUGCAGCUUCCACAUUAUACUGACACACUAUAUAUAUAGACAACAUCUACCUAUUUUCCCAUAGUGUGUAAGCUAAUUCAUGAAACAGAACUAUACACUCUGAAGCACCAAAGUUGUGUAAAGUGACAAAAAUAAUUUUAUUGUGGAAACAGAGUAGAGGUUAUAACACAAUGCCACUUCACUAAUUCUUUCAAACUUGAUUCAAAUGAUGUUAGUGAAAGUUUUUGAGGCAAAUGCCUCUAAAAUUCUCUGACUUGUAUGUCAUAAACAAAAAGCUUUCUCUAUUAAAAUACAAUUGCCUCUGGGUGUGUGUGGGGGUGAGGGUGGAGGGGCGCUAAGCCCUGGUAGUCAUUCAAAAAUUUGAUUACUUUGUUACUAAUUACCUUCACUGAGGAAAAUAACUUGAAGUUUUAGUAUUAGCGACAAGGUUAUUGAAUUCUGAAUUUUGGACAUAGGACCAUUUAGAAAACAAAAGACCUGAGUGAAGACUGUCAUUGGUAGGUCAUGAUCCUUGGCAGCAUGACUGUACCAAAUGUCCGGGAGGAGAGUGAGAAGCAUAUAUUUGAAGGAAAUGUAGAAUUCUCGCGUAACUAUCACAAAAUUUUGUCUUGCCUUCAAAAAUGGAAAAAACCCACUGUUUCCUCUUUCUGCUUCUUUCAUCACAUCAUCCCGAGGUUCCAGAACUCAUGCCAGAUAUUUAAUCCAGUUAUUCUAUAACUUAAAUAGAUGUUGUGGCCUAGUUUUGGAGAUCAACUACCACUUAAUACAUUUUUCCUAAGAAUUUUAAAAAGUUCAAAUCAAUCUAUUAACAAAUGAACUUUUAGCAUAUGAUCUGCUUCUAAUUAGCAAUGAUUAGACCUGUAAAAUGUAGUUAUUAUUCCUGUCCGUUACCACAAUAAAAAAUUGGUUCUACGAUAUCAAAAUGUCUUCAUGUCACAUAAGAAAAAACAAAUAAAAACUCAUACAUUUAAAUCUCCCACAUGGUUUUCAGCCAACAAUUCUCAAUUGAAAAUAAAACAUCUUACCUUUAAAAUCAA
rnacentral:antisense_RNA from 1 species